UACGAAGGGGGCUAGCGUUGCUCGGAAUCACUGGGCGUAAAGCGCACGUUAGGCGGAUCUUUAAGUCAGGGGUGAAAUCCCGAGGCUCAACCUCGGAACUGCCUUUGAUACUGGGGAUCUCGAGUCCGGAAGAGGUUGGUGGAACUCCGAGUGUAGAGGUGAAAUUCGUAGAUAUUCGGAAGAACACCAGUGGCGAAGGCGGCCAACUGGUCCGGUACUGACGGCUGAGGUGCGAAAGCGUGGGGAGCAA
rnacentral:rRNA from 1 species